AGCGAACGCUGGCGGCAUGCCUAACACAUGCAAGUCGCACGGGGGGGCUUCGGCCUCCCAGUGGCGGACGGGUGAGGAACGCGUAGGGACCUGUCGAGGGGUGGGGGAUAACCGCGGGAAACUGCGGCUAAUACCGCAUGACGCCGCGGCGUGACAGCCGGGGCCAAAGGCGAAAGCCGCCCGCCGAGGGGCCUGCGUCCGAUUAGCUGGUUGGCGGGGUAGCGGCCCACCAAGGCGUCGAUCGGUAGCUGGUCUGAGAGAGUGAUCAGCCACACCGGGACUGAGACACAGCCCGGACUCCUACGGGAGGCAGCAGUGGGGAAUAUUGGACAAUGGGCGCAAGCCUGAUCCAGCAAUGCCGCGUGGGUGAAGAAGGUCUUCGGAUUGUAAAGCCCUUUCGGCGGGGACGAUGGUGACGGUACCCGCAGAAGAAGCCCCGGCUAACUUCGUG
rnacentral:rRNA from 1 species